rnacentral:rRNA from 1 species
CAGCAGUGGGGAAUAUUGCACAAUGGGGGAAACCCUGAUGCAGCCAUGCCGCGUGUGUGAAGAAGGCCUUCGGGUUGUAAAGCACUUUCAGUAGGGGAGGAAGGUAGUGUAGUUAACACCUGCAUUAUUUGACGUUACCUACAGAAGAAGCACCGGCUAACUCCGUGCCAGCAGCCGCGGUAAUACGGAGGGUGCGAGCGUUAAUCGGAAUUACUGGGCGUAAAGCGCAUGCAGGCGGCCUGUUAAGUCAGAUGUGAAAGCCCGGGGCUUAACCUCGGAAUUGCAUUUGAAACUGGCAGGCUAGAGUCUUGUAGAGGGGGGUAGGAAUUUCAGGUGUAGCGGUGAAAUGCGUAGAGAUCUGAAGGAAUACCAGUGGCGAAGGCGGCCCCCUGGACAAAGACUGACGCUCAGAUGCGAAAGCGUGGGGAGCAAACAGGAUUAGAUACCCUGGUAG